AUAAUGGGUCAGCGACUUAUAUUCUGUAGCAAGGUUAACCGAAUAGGGGAGCCGAAGGGAAACCGAGUCUUAACUGGGCGUUAAGUUGCAGGGUAUAGACCCGAAACCCGGUGAUCUAGCCAUGGGCAGGUUGAAGGUUGGGUAACACUAACUGGAGGACCGAACCGACUAAUGUUGAAAAAUUAGCGGAUGACUUGUGGCUGGGGGUGAAAGGCCAAUCAAACCGGGAGAUAGCUGGUUCUCCCCGAAAGCUAUUUAGGUAGCGCCUCGUGAAUUCAUCUCCGGGGGUAGAGCACUGUUUCGGCAAGGGGGUCAUCCCGACUUACCAACCCGAUGCAAACUGCGAAUACCGGAGAAUGUUAUCACGGGAGACACACGGCGGGUGCUAACGUCCGUCGUGAAGAGGGAAACAACCCAGACCGCCAGCUAAGGUCCCAAAGUCAUGGUUAAGUGGGAAACGAUGUGGGAAGGCCCAGACAGCCAGGAUGUUGGCUUAGAAGCAGCCAUCAUUUAAAGAAAGCGUAAUAGCUCACUGGUCGAGUCGGCCUGCGCGGAAGAUGUAACGGGGCUAAACCAUGCACCGAAGCUGCGGCAGCGACGCUUAUGCGUUGUUGGGUAGGGGAGCGUUCUGUAAGCCUGCGAAGGUGUGCUGUGAGGCAUGCUGGAGGUAUCAGAAGUGCGAAUGCUGACAUAAGUAACGAUAAAGCGGGUGAAAAGCCCGCUCGCCGGAAGACCAAGGGUUCCUGUCCAACGUUAAUCGGGGCAGGGUGAGUCGACCCCUAAGGCGAGGCCGAAAGGCGUAGUCGAUGGGAAACAGGUUAAUAUUCCUGUACUUGGUGUUACUGCGAAGGGGGGACGGAGAAGGCUAUGUUGGCCGGGCGACGGUUGUCCCGGUUUAAGCGUGUAGGCUGGUUUUCCAGGCAAAUCCGGAAAAUCAAGGCUGAGGCGUGAUGACGAGGCACUACGGUGCUGAAGCAACAAAUGCCCUGCUUCCAGGAAAAGCCUCUAAGCAUCAGGUAACAUCAAAUCGUACCCCAAACCGACACAGGUGGUCAGGUAGAGAAUACCAAGGCGCUUGAGAGAACUCGGGUGAAGGAACUAGGCAAAAUGGUGCCGUAACUUCGGGAGAAGGCACGCUGAUAUGUAGGUGAAGUCCCUCGCGGAUGGAGCUGAAAUCAGUCGAAGAUACCAGCUGGCUGCAACUGUUUAUUAAAAACACAGCACUGUGCAAACACGAAAGUGGACGUAUACGGUGUGACGCCUGCCCGGUGCCGGAAGGUUAAUUGAUGGGGUUAGCGCAAGCGAAGCUCUUGAUCGAAGCCCCGGUAAACGGCGGCCGUAACUAUAACGGUCCUAAGGUAGCGAAAUUCCUUGUCGGGUAAGUUCCGACCUGCACGAAUGGCGUAAUGAUGGCCAGGCUGUCUCCACCCGAGACUCAGUGAAAUUGAACUCGCUGUGAAGAUGCAGUGUACCCGCGGCAAGACGGAAAGACCCCGUGAACCUUUACUAUAGCUUGACACUGAACAUUGAGCCUUGAUGUGUAGGAUAGGUGGGAGGCUUUGAAGUGUGGACGCCAGUCUGCAUGGAGCCGACCUUGAAAUACCACCCUUUAAUGUUUGAUGUUCUAACGUUGACCCGUGAUCCGGGUUGCGGACAGUGUCUGGUGGGUAGUUUGACUGGGGCGGUCUCCUCCUAAAGAGUAACGGAGGAGCACGAAGGUUGGCUAAUCCUGGUCGGACAUC
rnacentral:rRNA from 1 species